AGAGUUUGAUCAUGGCUCAGGAUGAACGCUGGCGGCGUGCCUAACACAUGCAAGUCGAACGGUCCUUCGGGACAGUGGCGCACGGGUGAGUAACACGUAGCUAACCUGCCUUCGAGAGGGGGAUAACGCCCCGAAAGGGGUGCUAAUACCGCGUACGCUCGCGCGAUGUAGAGGCGCGCGAGGAAAGGCGCAAGCCGCUCGAAGAGGGGGCUGCGGCCCAUCAGGUAGUUGGUAGGGUAACGGCCUACCAAGCCAACGACGGGUAGGGGGUCUGAGAGGAUGGUCCCCCACACUGGGACUGAGACACGGCCCAGACUCCUACGGGAGGCAGCAGUGAGGGAUCUUGCACAAUGGGGAAACCCUGAUGCAGCGACGCCGCGUGGGCGAAGAAGGCCUUCGGGUCGUAAAGCCCUUUUCUGGGUGACGAGGAAGGACGGUAGCCCAGGAAGAAGUCUCGGCUAACUACGUGCCAGCAGCCGCGGUAAAACGUAGGAGGCAAGCGUUAUCCGGAGUUACUGGGCGUAAAGCGCGCGCAGGCGGUUAGGCAAGUUGGGUGUGAAAGCUCCCGGCUAAACCGGGGGAGUGCAUUCAAGACUGCCUGGCUAGAGGACGGUAGAGGGGCGCAGAAUUCGGGGUGUAGCGGUGAAAUGUGUAGAGAUCCCGAGGAAUACCAGUGGGGAAGCCGGCGCCCUGGGCCGAACCUGACGCUGAGGCGCGACAGCGUGGGGAGCGAACGGGAUUAGAGACCCCGGUAGUCCACGCCGUAAACGAUGCAGACUGGGUGUUCACUUGCCUGCGGGCGAGGGAGUGCCGAAGCAAACGCGCUAAGUCUGCCGCCUGGGGAGUACGGUCGCAAGGCUAAAACUCAAAGGAAUUGACGG
rnacentral:rRNA from 1 species